rnacentral:rRNA from 1 species
UACGAAGGGGGCUAGCGUUGCUCGGAAUCACUGGGCGUAAAGCGCACGUAGGCGGACUCUUAAGUCGGUGGUGAAAUCCUGGAGCUCAACUCCAGAACUGCCUUCGAUACUGAGAGUCUCGAGUCCGGGAGAGGUGAGUGGAACUGCGAGUGUAGACGUGAAAUUCGUAGAUAUUCGCAAGAACACCAGUGGCGAAGGCGGCUCACUGGCCCGGUACUGACGCUGAGGUGCGAAAGCGUGGGGAGCAAACAGG